rnacentral:lncRNA from 7 species
GGGGUAUAGAGGGAGAAUAUAGGGGAACCAUUGUGGAAGAUAAAAAAAUAGAGGAUAAAAUAUUGGUAAUAUGACAAAAAAAUAUGAUAUAGUAGGAAAAAUUUAAGAAAACCGCUGAAGAUAGUCUAAGCAUCGGUAACAGGAUUAGUGGCUUCCUACAAUAUUCAGAGUGAAAGGUUGCUAAAAUUUUGUCGGGUCAAAAGCAAUUCAAAUUUGAACCACAUUUGGAUCACAGGCAUUUUUGCUCAAAAGCCUGCGUAGGACCAGCUGCAACUUAGAAUAAUUGGCUCAUCAAAUUUGUUCAAACAACCCACUUGACGAAAGCCUUUCAAUUGACAGUAGCACACUAGCCAGGAUGACAACUUUAGAGACAAACCACUAUCAUCAACCAUUCUUCGAACACAUGCUCAGCUCUUGACUAGUAAUAUAUGUUCUCAGAAAAUAUAGAUGGAUUUGUGUGUGUGCACAGGGAGGGGAGGGAGCUAAAGCCACUGCGCUUUCUCAAUCUAAACAGCGAUGAGAAAGCAGUAGACACAGGUGAGGAGCAUUCGCUUUUUCCACUAGCAACAAUACAAACUCCUUAUCCUAAUCCAACCUAAAAUCUCCAAAUUAC